UAGCGGAGGGGGCGAGCGUUAUUCGGAAUUAUUGGGCGUAAAGGGCGCGUAGGCGGCUCUUUAAGUCAAAGGUGAAAUCCCUCGGCUCAACUGAGGAACUGCCUUUGAAACUGAGGAGCUUGAGUCCGGGAGGGGGUAGCGGAAUUCCCAGUGUAGCGGUGAAAUGCGUAGAUAUUGGGAGGAACACCAGUGGCGAAGGCGGCUACCUGGACCGGAACUGACGCUGAUGCGCGAAAGCGUGGGUAGCAAACAGG
rnacentral:rRNA from 1 species